rnacentral:rRNA from 1 species
AACGAACGCUGGCGGCGUGGAUAAGACAUGCAAGUCGAACGGAACUAUCAGAGUAGCAAUACAAUGAUAGUUUAGUGGCGAACGGGUGCGUAACACGUGGAUACAUUCCGGGAAGCGGGGGAUAGCCCAGGGAAACUUGGAUUAAUACCGCAUGUGGUCGAAAGACUAAAGACGGGGACCGCAAGGCCUGUCACUUCCCGAUUGGUCCGCGGCCUAUCAGCUAGUUGGCGGGGUAAAAGCCCACCAAGGCUACGACGGGUAGCUGGUCUUAGAGGACGACCAGCCACACUGGAACUGAGACACGGUCCAGACACCUACGGGUGGCAGCAGUCGAGAAUCUUUCACAAUGGGGGCAUCCCUGAUGGAGCGACGCCGCGUGGAGGAUAAGGUCUUCGGAUUGUAAACUCCUGUCAUGCGCGAACAAGGUUGCAGGGUUAAUAACUUUGCAAAUUGAUGGUACCGCAAGAGGAAGAGACGGCUAAACUCUGUGCCAGCAGCCGCGGUAAU